GCAGCUGUUAAGGAAGACUAUAAUACAGAUGUGUAAAAAUCUUUUGAUACUGUAAUUCUGAUAUACUUAAGUCUAGUUUUUUUAGUACUGAAUAGUAUUUUGUGUUCUUCUUUAGCUGUGAUUUUAAAGAACAAUUAAGAAUAAGCUGACAAACAGAACCAAGGAUGAAAUGAGAUGAGUUUCUACAUCAGAAGGCAGGCACGCUGUCAACGUAAUGAAAACAACAGGCUUUUAUGAUGACAUCAUUCCAUCUGGACUCAAAACACAGAAGGGUGCUAUCCGUUGACAUAGUGGGUUAAUUUCCUGCCCAGGCAGUGUUGAUUGAGUUCUUGGAGGAGUGCCUACAAUAUCUGACCUCACUCCACAGUUCUCUAGCGAAACACUUGGAUCAGAAUGAUAGGCUUCCUUUAACCCUUAAAUGGGUUAAAACUCUUUUUUCCACCAUUUGAAGUAAUGGCUUUGGUAUCUAUGGGAUUAACACCUUCACCUGAAAUAUAUGAUUGAAGUUAAGCUAAUGACUGUGCCAUGCCAAGACAAACAUGAAGGAAAGAGCAGUGUGAUUAGAUGGAAUAUAUAAAAAAUAUAUGUAUUUUGUUUCAGAAAGUAUAAGGUCUGACAGUAAAGGGCAAAGCUCAUACUGUAGAUGUACAACAUUUCAAGACAAGGUAGUGAGCAGAAGACAGCGACAGAUGGAAUGAAAGGUCUGUUCACUGAGCCAUGUUGCUGGAAGGUGGAAUCUUCCACAGUAUUUACAUGCUCUUGGGCUCUUGGGUGUUCAAGCUGAAGUUCUC